rnacentral:lncRNA from 1 species
AUGGGCAGCAAAACAUCUAAGGAUAAUGCAGAAAAUGUCAGGAGUGACUCUAGCUCCAAGAAGAAAUGUCAAGAUGUCCCUGGCACCAGGACAAAAACAAAGGCCCCAGGGAAAACAGAGCCAGCUCCUGAAUGUGAUGCUAGCUCCAGGAAAAAAUGCCAGGACACUUUUGGCAUUAGCACAAAAUCAUUUCAAAUCACAAUACAAAACAAUGCUAAUUUCACAAUGAAUGUCACUCAUAAAGAUAAAAGUACUAGUACUUACAGGAAUAUUGUAUAUUGUGAUGCUAGCGCCAAGAACAAAUGCCAGGACACCCCUGCCACCAGCACAAAAACAGAGCCCCCAGAGAAAACAGAGGCAGCUCCUGAAUUUGAUGCUAGCUCCAAGAAAAAAUGCCCAGACGCUCCUUGCACCAGCACAAAAUCAGAGGCCCCAGAGAAGACAGAGACAGCUCCUGAAUUUACAUGUUGGUCGCAGACUUCCAACACAGUUGGCCCUGCUGUGGAAGAACCAAACCGUGUGGCAGCUGUUAUUUCACAGAAACAAAUGCUUAACCUUGAACACAAGUCUCCAUUUCACGGCAGGGCCAACACAGUCGGCCCUGUUGUGGAAGAACCAAACCGUGUGGCACCUGUUAUUUCUAUUCGCCAUCCUCAAUUUGGCAUGACAAUACAAAACUCCGGUAAUUUAAAAUUGAAUGUCACUAAGAAUGUUAUGGGUUAUGUCAGCAUUAAUCAGUUUGACUUGUUUGGUCACGAAACAACAAUAACUGACAAGCCCAGAACUCCAAUAGACGAGAAAGACUGUGACUCCACGCAAAGCACCUCUAAAACCUCAGAGGAUGAGGAAAAAUACAGAUUUUCUGUGGAAAUCUGUUUGGAAGAACUGGUUGAGCAGUUUGUAAAAAAAUCAGGCAAAGUCAUGAGCCCGGAAAGCGUUUCAGCCAUCUACAACAGGCUUACCAACAAAAUUUGGGCUGAAAUAAGGGAUGACAUUGAUAAAAUCCCCUUAAAGAAGUUCAAAAACUUCCACAAGGUCAUUUUCAAAGCCCUGUGUAAAAAGUGGAAAGAUCCAGAAAUAAUUCUGCAAUUCAUGGAAUUAAAUAACCCAACAUUCGACAAUAAAAUUGUUAACAUUUUCAUAGAGGAGGCAGCCAAACUAUCGAAGAAACCAGGUUGCAUACGUCGUGUUUUGUCAUUUAUAGGCCAAAUGUUUUGUUGCUGCAGGAGACAAAACAAGGUUGAUGUAAUGUAG